rnacentral:tRNA from 1 species
GAGGGAAUAGCUCAAGUGGUAAGAGCACAUGUUUAGCAUGCAGGAGGUGCUGGGUUCAAUCCCCAGUACCUCCU